rnacentral:lncRNA from 1 species
AGAUGGCACACAGACAGCAGAGUUGGGGACAGAUAUGCAGGGACAGACUGGCAGAGACAGGGAGUCUCAGUGCCCCCCAGAGUUUCACAGCAAACAUGCCGGAGUCACUGCCAGAAUCUGUGACGGUUCAUCCAGGAGCACCUGUGUCUUCACUGACAGAUUGAUGACUUCAAUCAGUAACACCAAAACUCGCUAUAGCUCGAUUGAAAUUCAAAGGCAAUGUUCUCGAAGACUGGAAAUGACCUUUACAUUUCAAGCGCGCUAUUUUCAGCAAUCACAAUCCUUGUAAAAACGUCAACUCAUGGUAUAACUAAUAACGUUUAUUUUACAUUUUAUUAUGUCAGUGUGGUUAUAAGCCGCUAUAGCUCUGAAGUUCGAGUGUGUGUGUGUGUGUGUGUUGUAGUAG